UAAAAACUGUGUCUGCUUGUCCUGCGAGUCAUUCCUCAGCGCUGCUGUAAUAACGCUGAUCUCCCUCCACACUGCAGGCUGGUCUGGAAAAUUCACAAACAUGUCGUAGAGCAGCCUGCCCGCCGACGCCGUCCUCUCAGCGUUCCUCUCGAUGGUGUACAUCUCAUACUGGAUAUUGAAGUCGGCGGGGUAGAGGCUCCGCGCCGUGAUGAGCCAGGCCUUGGCCGCCCAUAGAUCUCCCGGCACCAGCUCGCGGGCUCGCUUCACCAGAAACUCGCAAUCCCCCUGAGCUGACAUCUUGCGGCCGGGCGGCACGCAUGCGCCCCGACGCGGCCUCGUCCGCUCUUCUGCCCCGCCCCAUCCGGGCGACGUGGGGCUCAGGGCGUGCGCGGGAGCCGCCAUUUUGUGGGAUCGUUCCAGGGUUCUUGGCGAAGUUAACUGUGCUCCGCCGGCCUUUUUUUUUGCCUUCUUUAUAGGCCCUUGAGGGGUCUUUGUGCUGCACAGGGGCUAGUGAGGUAUAGGGACCUUAUUGUGUGUGGGCUGAGGUAGGCUGAGGGUCAGAAGAUGUAUCUGUAGUAGGAAAGUGGGAAUUAAGAGGACUUGUAUGGAUAGGGAGGGUUAAAGUACUUUUACAUAGCUCAGGGAGUAGUUUAGGCUCUCCAAACUUGUGACUUGUAAGGAAUUUUGUGAUACUUUGCAUCAGUAUUUUAGAACUAGUGUCUCAGUAGAUAGAGCAGCGGGUGAGCCAGGCUUAAGGGCUCCUCUUUUUUAGUUUUGUGAGUGGUGUCUUGAAUAUAAUGGUAGCAGGAGUCAACUGACCUAAAAUCCCUAGAGUUUACAACACGGCAGUGCCCUUUUUGAAGUUGAUACUGCUGUAAAUCAAAGCACUUUAUAAAGGUCCAAGGCCCUUGCACCUCUGGUAAAAGGCACUUGUAGUUUAGGACUAAGGUAACCACCAGUAGAGUGACUCCAGAGCAGAGCUUUUUCUCUUCAUAAGCUCUCCUGACCUUCAGCGAUUUAAGAGAUUUGCUUAUCUGUAGUUUAUGGUGUUCACUGCUAAGAUGCUUGAUUAUAUGCAAGUGUUCCUGUUCCUUAUCUGGCAGUAAACUUUUUCAACCUUAUCAUUUUAUUUAUUCCUUUCAAGUAGGCCGUUCAUUUUUGAUGUGGCGACAGACCUUAUAGACUUUGUUCUUGUGAACUGCAGUGCUUAAGUCCAUGUGGAUUGUCUCCUAAGUGCAAAGACCUUUAGUAAAAAGUUAAAACAGAUGCUUAGUCUUGAUAGCAGAUAAGGGGUAACAUCCUUGUCUUUCUGCUUUAUCGACUGAUGCGUUUUUGCCUCAUUCUUAGCUGUUUAUAAUGUCUGCAGAUCCUCUUGCUAUUCUGGUGCAGGUGAAAAAGUAGGCUGGUAGGCUGCCAGAGAUUUGAAGUUUGGGGGAAAUGUGGAGUCCCUGGUGUCUUUUUUGGGUUGAGAAUGGAGUCAUCCAAGUGCUGGGAAUUUGACUUCUCUCCUUCUCUCCCUGCUGCUGCUAAUUCCUCCUACAUCAAAGCCACUGCCAGCAUUGUGUGAGGAACCGCCCAUGCUUUUUGGGUGUGAAUCCUACAUUUGUUUCACUCUCUGGCCUCUCAGUGUUGGCCUUGUGGAAGGGAACCUGUAUAUAAAGAUGUAUAUAAACUGCAACCUUCAGGAAGAGGUGUGCUUGCAAGGGCUCUGCUCUCUGAAGGAGAGAGCUGAUUUUAGCCUGACAUGAAACUGUUGUUAUUUCAUACCCUAUUCUGAUUUCCUGCUGCUGUGCUAACAAAUGCAAUGAGAAAUUGUUACAGGAUUGUCUUGUUGAAAGCAAUUGACCCUGUCAGUUUAUCAGUACCCAGCAGUGAGUGCAAGAUCCUGUUCUUUGACCCUUCUCUCAGCUAUCUUGCCAUAUGCUCAUCAGUUGCAAUUUGAAAGAGCACGAAAUGGGUAAUUAAUGCACCAUUCAGAGGUGACAGAGCCACAGUAGAAAGACUGCUGUUGCUCUUGAAACGGAUGCAGAACACUUCCUCAUCUUUCUUUCCUGCCUCUACUAUCCAACCAACAGCCUGUUACAGGCUGCUGUGGGAUGGCAUUUUACUUUUUUGGGCUCAAAACACAGCAAUGUGUAUUGUCUCUUCAUUAACUGCCUGGGGAAGGACUGAUAGGGUGAGUGGUCCUGGCUUGUUCUGUGCUGCUUGUGAGGCUGGGAUUAGGAUGCCACAAGAGGCACCAGGAGGAUAGUGGGUAUCAGAAGCUGCUUUUGAAGAAGGGGUGUGCGAGGAGUCCCCUGCUAUAUACCUGCUGCAGAACUACACUCAGGUACCAGCUAGACAGAAAUCAUGACUUUGGAUGAGUUUCAUAAGGAGUCAUAAAAGCAAGAUGUAGCUCUUUUUAAUCAAGAGAAUUUAGAGCGUUGGGUUUAGUGAUAUCGGAGUAAGAAACAAUACUUUUGUUUUCUUGUGUAAGAGGAAAGGGAACACUGUUUUUUGGAGAAUCGUAGUUAUUACCGUGAUAAUUUCUUGUAGCUAGAAGUCAGCAUCUGGUAGCACAGCAGGAGGAAAUCGGAAUAGGGCAUGGAAUAAUGACAGUUCCAAAAAUAUGGGUACUGAGUCUCUACCACAUCACAAUAGGACUUGCAUUUGAAGUUGCUGAGAACAGAAGCUAUUGGUUUUAGCUGAGCAGGUUAGUGGGUUCCAUCUCUAGAGGGCCCUUCCAACCCCUACGAUUCUGUGGUUUAGGGCUAUUACUGUGCUGAACUGGAACCACUGAUGUGCCAGUGGCUUGGUGUACUCAUCUUCUAUCCCAAGUCUGUAGCUGGUGGCAGGGCUGGGCUGGUCCUGUCAGGUUGAGACCUGAUUCUUCCUCCCCACCUGGAGUGGCUUUCCCAAGUAAAUUUCCCAAUACAGACUGUCCUGUUUGGAUGUGAACAAUGCAGGGCAUGCUGAAGGUCUC
rnacentral:lncRNA from 1 species